rnacentral:lncRNA from 1 species
GAGCCCCAGCCCGCAGGCUGGCCGGCGCGCGGCCGGAGGUGUUUCCGCCCCGCGCGGCGUUUGGCAGCACGGGCGGAGCGAACCUCGGCGCUAAGUCACCUGCGGACUAGAGUGGCACCUGGGAGUUUCUUGGAGGAACGAUCUACAUUUCUCACGAGGAAACUGUCCCUCAAACUGGAGGAGGAGGGGGCGAAGCUAAUUCCCAAAAAAAGAAGAGGAAAGAAAAAGCAGAGCAGCCUUCCCUCUAGAUGAAGGAGGCCUCCAGAUGGAACCUGCCAGGACCGUUUUCCAUCCCGGGAAGGGCCGGAUGGGAUCCUGCUCGCUUCUUGGGAGUUCCGGUUUUCUCAGUAAGAGCAUCCUACCCGACAGAGAGUUUUUGAUUCUUCCUCGUCUUUGAGUCUGAGAUCAACGUGCCCUUCAGUUUCCUCUGUGCCUCAGUCGAAUUAAUUUAAAAGAGCUGUCCUAUCUCCAAGUCUUAAUUAUAGGGGCAAUUAAAACAUUUAAAAAUGUUCUCCCAUAAUCAUUCAUACUUUUGGAUGUAUCUCCAAGGGUGUUUUCUUGUGGAUGUUUGCUCCGGAAAUGCCAUAAGAAUGAUGACGGUAUCUGUUGAAUCCCUGCCUCGUUUUGAAAUACAUUUGAGGUGACUUAUAUAAACCUUGCAAAAGAGAUAAAUCAGUGCAAAGAGAAAAAGCUAGUAAAGUGAAGCAAGAAAUAAAGCCACUGCACAGAAAUUCCAACCACAGGGAUUCAAGCAGUUACUGUAGAGGGUCACAGAUUCGGCUCUGAGCAAUGAAGAAGCCGAACCGGUCAAGGAUUCGAGAAGAUGUUUUGUAAGAUGGAGCUUGGACUGGAGCCCCGAAGUUCCCCCGUGCAUCUUUGAAAGGGACACUGAUGUCAUAAAUAACGUUUACAGGGAGUGUCUAAUAACUCUUUCUUACGGUGUCGCUCAAGGAGCCUUCACUUAGGGCCUAACAGCAAAGUUCAAGAUCGUACUUGAACUGAGGGAACAGAGUAAUGUCGCCCAAAUAUGAAGUUCUUUAUCUGAUUUGAUCCAAAGAGAAAAUUUUAAAUAUCUAGGAAAAAAAAAAAGAGUGCUUCCUCCCAUCUGUAUAAUUUUCUCCAAUGAAACGUCAGUAAGAAUCAAGCGUCAGGGAAGUCAAGGAUAAAUUGUUUGGCAGAGACCUAACAUGUAUAAUCUCUGUAUUUCAUUUUUUCUUUUUUUAGGGCUGCACCUGCGACAUAUAGAGGUUCCCAGGCUAGGGGUCCAGUCAGAGCUACAGCUGCCGGCCUACACCACAGCCACAGCUACGGCAACGGGAGCUGAGCCUUGUCUGCCGCCUACACCACAGCUUAUGGGCAACACUGGAUCCUUAACCCUUUGAGCGAGGCCAGGGAUCAAACCUGCAUCCUCACAGAUACUAGCCAGGCUCAGUACCACAGAGCCACAAUGGGAACUCCUAAACUCUGUAUUUCUGGUAAGAUGCAAGUGUGUAACCAGGAGUGUGGUGAAUGCUUAUGAAAAGGCAGAUCCCUAACCAGGCCAGGUGCCUGCAUCGACCUACCUCUGUCAAGAGGCCAGCUAAGGCGCACCCCUGGGCGCGAGCCAGGUCUCCUUCAGAAAACAGCUCACGUUUGCUCUGACACGAAAGCAAAAGCACAGCCGGAGCCCCGUGGGACAUGACCACCAAGUGACAUAAAUAACAACCCUCCCACAACUCGAUCAUAUGUUCCACAGUUUAGUUUUCUAUAACCCUGUUUUGCUUUAUUCGUCCUCUGCCUCUCCACCCAUUACAGCAGAGAGUGGAGAAGCGACUGUUAAAAACAAAAUCAACCUGCAGAGAAAAAGUCAUUUUGGAUGAAUGACUGCGGCCUGAGGCUGCUGGCUUAGUGUUUAAUUUGGCUCCUUCUCCAUCCAGUCCUGGGCAGAAGAUGGGUCACCCCAUAUAGCUUCCGCCACCAGCAGGAUGAUUUUGUUUUUUAGAAAAUAUGUUCCCUCGGUAAGCUGUCCAAGUGAGUUGUGCUUAAGGUAUGCGUUAUUCAGAGGGAGAAAAUAUUUCCAGCACGGCUUGAAGUCUUUAUUCCUGACAACGCACUAAGAAUUCAACACAGUAAUCUUAUUGUUUUAGCUGUUGCUUUUACCAUUACUCAUGCAACACGACUGGGAAAAAAACUAGUGAUGACUUUCCCCUCCUCCCCAUGUUUUGUGUGUGUGCAUUUUUUUUUUUUUUUAAACUUUUGGUUUGGGAUGAAUGCACCUAACAACCCACCAUCUGGUGUCCAAAUAUUUUUACAGACAUGAGUCCAAAUACCACAGAAUCGUGGCCACAGCUCAGGCUAUGUGGGUCUUUUUCUCAGGCAGACAGACUUUUUAUUAAAUGUGAUUAUACUUGAACCAGGAGAAUCUCAGCCAGCAGAUUCAGCCUUGAGAUGAGAACUCACUAUGUUGCCCAAUAUUUUAAAAAAAAAAAAAGGCAGAUGGGAGAACUCCCCCUGGAGCAAAUUUCGAUUUUAAAAAAUGAACUUUUAUUUUUGUUAUCAUCGUCAGCAGUAGACAAAUGGAAUCAAAGUGACAAUGCCUGCUGCAUUCCUGCCCUCACCGUCACUGGGGGAAGAAGAUAAGGUGCAGCCUGCUCUGUGGGAAUCAAGUUUCAGUCGUCAGGUGUAAUCAGAACCGUGGUCUUAAAACAAAGGCCUACACUCCGCCUCCUCCCUCAGUCCGAGGACUGAUCACUCCCCUCCCGCCCCAGCCCCAACCCUGGGCACCCCAAGGAGAAAGAAGGAAAGAAGGAUCAGAUCUGCAAGAGCAAAAACACCCAAACCGGACAGCAGUGCCUGUACCCCAUCUGUAUGCCCAGGAUCAGUGACCCCCCCAUGUGCUGCUGGGCGCCCCACUGCUCCGAUGGAAUCCUGGCAGGAGGCUUUUAGAAAGCAGGGCUUGUAGUUUUCCAAAAUUAAGAUUUCCCUCUUAACCCUCUGCAAAGAAACUUGGUUACUGGGUCUGUGCAGCGCGAUGGAGUUCCUAGAACACCACCACGUCAUGAUGGGGGAAAGGAUUCUUUUUUCCCCGAAAGAAAAGAGAGGGUGCAUUUGCUCAAAAGGCCACCCAGAGUUUUCGAGCCCAGAGAAAAUUAAUCUGGUCAGGGACUUCGCCCCAUCAUUAAAACCUGUUAUUGCUGGAUUGCCUCACAAAACUAAAAAUAAGGACAAACAACAACAAUAACAACCACAAAUGACUUAGGCUUGCUUGCAGCUUCCAGCUUUGCCAGUGAAACUGAUUGGAGGGGUCAUUAAACUAUCCCGGACCUCGGCCUGUCCCCGGUGUGUUCGGGGUAGGCCUGUCCCAGAAGGGCUGGAUCUCAGUGCAGCUGCCCUGGAGGGACAGGGAGGGGUGAUGCUCCCAUUUCGGCGAUGGGCAAACCAAGGAACAGCCAGGCCGCGGUGCCGGGGUCCCUCAAAGUCACUGGUGAGCGGCGGCAGGUCCGAAGAAGUGGAGGAAGUGUAGACGUGGGUGAUAAGGCGAUAACCCAAGGAAAUUAAAACCUCGUCGUGUGGGAAAAGAACAAUUAGCCAGGACAGAGGAGCAGGAAGGAAUACAGAAUGAAUUACAAUCGGAGGAAACGAGCCAGCAACAAAAGAGGCCUGGCGGGGUGGGGGCCUGAGGGGAGCCCGCGAGGCCUUAGGAAUGCUGGCUUUCCUUCGGGUUCUGUCAGGGCCUUAUUGUUUGGUUGCUGUGGCUCCUAACUUAACCCCUUUUCUACCUCGAAGUGUCAAACUUGCCGGCAGCUCUCUCUUCACGCGGUUCUUUGAGAUUGCUUCAUGAACACUGCAAAUUCCAGAUGGGAAACUCUUCAUGACUAGCUCAGAGAAAGGGCAACAAUUGAAGCUUGGAUGGGUGAGCAAAGUAGUCCCACCAGAAGCCACCGGAAACAUCUAGAGCACAAGUAUCAGCGAGCGUAGACGGUUUAAGACCAAGAAAAAAGUGUGUGUUCAUGAGAUCCCCUUUUCAAAGAAAACAUGUGAAAGGGUUUGCAACUAACAUCAGGAUGAUAUCAGUGUUUAAAACUAAUGGGAUGGAAGAUUCUUUAACUAGUGGGAGGCGGUGGGGAGAAAGUACAAUUGUUUUAUGACAAUAAGAAUUUGCUUAUUCUUUAAAUUGGUAUGUUUGCCACACAUGAUUAUUGCCCCCCCCCAAAAAAAAAGACCAUGGGCCCAAAAUAAAACUGUUUUUUGCG